rnacentral:misc_RNA from 1 species
CCGCAUCCCGACACCAAUGUCGGCGUCAACGCCUCUGCUCCAUGCGAUCUCCGCCGUCAAACGUCUAGGGCAACUUGAUGCGGCCGGAUCCGUUCCAUUUAUAGCCAGUCGGUUGCACCGCUCCCCCUUCCCCCUUCUCCGCCUCAGAUCCUUCUCCUCCCGUGCCGCCGGGACUGCUGCUCCGAUGGGCAAGGAGAUCCCACUCGCCGCCGAUGCCGGCAUGGACGCCGUCCAGCGCCGCCUCAUGUUUGAAGACGAGUGCAUUUUGGUGGAUGAGCAUGAUGCUGUUGUUGG